CUGGGACGGAAGGAUUCGAACCUCCGCAUAGCGGGACCAAAACCCGUUGCCUUACCACUUGGCCACGCCCCA
rnacentral:tRNA from 1 species